AUUAGAUACCCUGGUAGUCCGCACGGUAAACGAUGGAUGCCCGCCGUUGGGUAUUUUUAUUCAGCGGCCAAGCGAAAGCGUUAAGCAUCCCACCUGGGGAGUACGCCGGCAACGGUGAAACUCAAAGGAAUUGACGGGGGCCCGCACAAGCGGAGGAACAUGUGGUUUAAUUCGAUGAUACGCGAGGAACCUUACCCGGGCUUGAAUUGCAGAUGACGGAUCCAGAGAUGGUGACUUCCUUCGGGACAUCUGUGAAGGUGCUGCAUGGUUGUCGUCAGCUCGUGCCGUGAGGUGUCGGCUUAAGUGCCAUAACGAGCGCAACCCCUUUCGUCAGUUGCCAUCGGGUAAUGCCGGGCACUCUGGCGACACUGCCGCCGCAAGGUGUGAGGAAGGUGGGGAUGACGUCAAAUCAGCACGGCCCUUACGUCCGGGGCUACACACGUGUUACAAUGGGGCAUACAGAGAGUUGGUCAUGCGCAAGCAUGAUCGGAUCAUGAAAGUGUCCCUCAGUUCGGACUGGGGUCUGCAACCCGACCCCACGAAGCUGGAUUCGCUAGUAAUCGCGCAUCAGCCAUGGCGCGGUGAAUACGUUCCCGGGCCUUGUACACACCGCCCGUCAAGCCAUGAAAGCCGGGGGCGCCUGAAGUCCGUGACCGCGAGAGUCGGCCUAGGGUGAAACCGGUGAUUGGGGCUAAGUCGUAACAAGGUACC
rnacentral:rRNA from 1 species